rnacentral:rRNA from 1 species
CCUACGGGAGGCAGCAGUGGGGAAUAUUGCACAAUGGGCGCAAGCCUGAUGCAGCGACGCCGCGUGCGGGAUGGAGGCCUUCGGGUUGUAAACCGCUUUUGUUCAAGGGCAAGGCACGGUUUUUGGCCGUGUUGAGUGGAUUGUUCGAAUAAGCACCGGCUAACUACGUGCCAGCAGCCGCGGUAAUACGUAGGUGCCAGCAGCCGCGGUAAUACGUAGGUGCCAGCAGCCGCGGUAAUA